CUGCUUUGUUUGUGUGCUGCUCUCUGGGCAGAGAUAAUGGGACUGAUCCCAAGCCAGCUCCGAGGCAAUCGCAAGUCUUUCCUUUGUCUUCAGUGGGGUUUGGAUCGGUCCCAAAGCUCAUAAGCAGUUUUCCACCAAGAGUUCCCGGCACUUAUGUCAGUCACUGGCAAAAAGGGAAGGGAUAAAUCCAGCAUCGGCUGCUUCGGAUGCCAGGCACAUUCAGCGUGUGUGUGCGUGCGUGUGUCACCGUGGUAUAUAUACUCACACAGUCCGUCUCGGUUCCUCCUAAAUUACAUGACAGCUUGCAAUGGGCAGGCUGCUACCGGUCUGCUUCCAGGACCGACCUCAAAACGGUUUCUCUCGGAAGGGAGCUGGGAGGAUCUGCACAGUGCCUAGGGAAGGCUUUUUCAGGAGCAGCUGCCCCAGCUUGAGCAAGGGGAAAGAGUCAGGGUGGCCGCCUGGUCAGGCUGGCACGUGGUGGUGAGGAUUUCAUCCGCGUGCAAGGACGCAGGGCAGCGGGAAGGUAUCUCCCUUCCCAGAAGUGCAGUCAGCCAAUGCGUGGUCCCGGCACCAGCAGUCCCUUGGUCUGCGUCAGUGUUCCUCGUAACAAACUGCAAAGGGUCAGAUGCAGGUGGAGAAGCCUCAUCACGCCUUAAAGGAAGCAAUAAGCAGCUCGGCCAAGGUCAAAGAACACAACCUUGUUCAAACCUAGAGUCCUGAACCUCAAACUCAAGUGCAACCCACUGCAUCCCACACUACAAAUGAGGAGCUCAUGUAUUCAUCUGAAAAGUGUAGUAUUUUCUGGAGUGCAGCGAGGCAGGUGGUUGCCCAUGAUCCCCGCAGAGCAGAGGUAUGUGAUGGCUUGAUGCCUAGUGGGUGCUGUAUUUAAUAGGCACUAUGGGAUGAGGGCUCAGUCCCCAUGAUAUGAACAAUCUCAUGACUGUCGUGCUGGGAGCUGGAGGAGAGCUCAGAGGCCAGUAGAGCAUAGCAUGCCAGGGGCUCCUGCAGAAGGGAGCAUUAAUACAGGGUUAAAAUCCUGAUAAAUUUUAACUCAAGGGGAAAAAUAUCACUUGACUCUUCCCUUACCCCCAGCAGACUCAGCCUGAUGCCUAUUAAAUACCUAUUCUGUAAUUGCAGUAUAUGUUGCCGACAUUAAAUGCCUUCUGUUAUCUGAUUUACAUGAUUGAGCCAUUCAUUCUUCCCUUUUCCACCUAUUCCCUUGCGCUCCAGAGCACCAGUAAAUAGCCUGCAAGCCUCACUGGAGGGAUGGCUGCAGCCCAUAGCAAAACAGCCCCGUGUCUGUAAGAGGCCUGAACGUGCUCAGUGGCCUGCAGUGAAACCUGGGCCUGAGGAGCCCAGCUCCUCCUGAAGCCAAAGUUCAACGUCAUGGAAAACUUUGCUGAGGUGUGCUGACAAAGGAAUCCUGUCCCCGCACCUUGGCUGUGCCUCAGGAGGCACGGAGGUCCGAUGGGCAGUGGCACAGUCUCUCGCACAAAGCAGCAAGGGGGCUGGAAAGCUCCUUUUACAGUCCAAACGGAUGUUUCCUCAGGCUCAUAAAAUACACAGUUUAAGUAGUAGCUAUAUUUCUGAGGCUGGUCCCACACCUGCAACAACGUUGUAAAUGGCGCUGGGAUAUAUGGCUUUAAGACUCCUUGUAAAACGCAAGAUCAACACAAGAUUUACACAGUUUUAUGGAAUUGUUUUAUAAGCUAUUUUGACAAUGAAUCCUGCUAUCAAAAUCACCUCUGGUGCUAAUCACGGAGGAAGCAUUUAGCAGGAACCAACAAAGAUUAGUUUAAACCCCUUUCCUACCGAGCUGGGGGCUGUGCAGUGCAUCUCCCAAAGCCUGGGGCAUGGCUCACACAGCAGCACGUAGUGGGGCAGUGGGAACGGACUUCAAAUUGGGGGUGGACACAUUUUUGGGUGCCUCUCCGUGCUCUGGUGGGGAUGAGGACUGAACAAGGACUGCAGGAGGUGAAGCUAAGAGCUCCCCUUCCUCCCAUCCUCCCCAGACAGGGAUGGAGCUGUGCCUCCAGCAGGUCCUAACAGCCCCAGGGGACACACCUGGGGCAUGGCAAACCAGUGGUGGGACCUGAGCACUGCAUCCCCCAGCACCCAGCCCUCUGUGGUCCUUCUUGCCCACCGCUGGGUUACACACGAGAGGAAGGACUCCAGUGAGAGGAUGAACCAGCUUGAAAGCCCAAAUCAGCACUGUUGCCUUGCAUGGCCACAGACUUUGCCCCAUGCCAAGUGUUGGACAUGCCGAGGGGACAUUUGUGGGUCAGGCUGGCCAGAUGUGCCUGGCAAGGAAGCCACGAGCAGUGAGGCUAUCAUUACACAGCUGCCACAAGCCACAGCACAACCAGAGCCUCACCACUCCCAGCCGAGGGGUUAGCACAUCUCCUGGCUGCUCCGGGCAGCUCUCAGAUUCCUUCCUCUGAGACACUCACCAGGAGGAAGGCUCGGAGGAAUCGCCUCCUCCUCCUCCUGUUUGAACGUGGCUCCCAUGGGUUCCCCGGGUGGCUCUGAGUCCUGAGCAUGAGGACGGUGAGCAGCUGCUGCCUUUCUGGCUUCUCCCAGUCUCAGGAUUUUGCAGCCAUCCCUCACCGAGCUGUUUCUCUCCUACAUACACAGAAGUCCCAGCUAAAUAAACAGGAACAUAAUAUGUGCCUGUCUCCAAUUUUUUCAUUAUCUGAAGACACCUGGAGAGAAUGGCGGGGUGCUGAAUUAUGUGCACGGUGUGUGGUUUGGCAUCCUCUGCUCUCUUUGGCCCACUGUCACCAGUUACACUCAGGCCUUUCUUGUCCCCUUUGCACACAAGCACUGUUGGAUGCACAAAAUAACUUCUUUGCAGUACGGGAUAUGGCCACGAGAUGUCUCUUCAAGCCGUCCGUGACUCCAGCCCGGUGAACUGGGCCCACGCUGGCUCGCAAGCUCUGCAGAAGCUCCUGGGGCCAAAAUCUGGCACCAGCCCUGGUGAGCAUCCCCUGCUGUAGUAAAGGGGAUUGGAGAGCAAAGCUGCAUCUGCAAGCAGAGGUGGCACCUUUUAUCUAGACCUGCAGGUAUAGGUGGGAAAGGAUAAAAAACACCAACCCAAACAGAUAGCUUUUCAAACACACAAGAGCUUUCUCACUCCAAAAAUACAAGCAACUGCCUUCAGACUAAAUCUCAGCUGAGAACAAUCACUCUGAGUCUAUCUUGGUUUUGUCAGGUGUUCAGUCUGGGGAAAAAAAUGCUGAUUGAUACCUGCAGAGAAGAGGUAUCGACAUUAGCAAGGAGGGAAGUGGUAAGAUUGUUGGUCAAAGAGAGAGAGAAAGAGACAGGAAAGGAGGGAUGGAUGGCUACUGGCUGUGAGGUAAUGAAGAGUUUACUGCUGGUUUUAGGGAAAUAUAACUGCCAUAAAAACUAAUGAGUCCAUGAGCACUAAUAUAUGGCAAAUUGGGGAAUUUAAACUUGUCUUUUAAUGGUAUAUUUUAGGAUCCUCUUGCGGGUCUGAACCAGAAAUCUAGAGGUGGUGUGAUUAUUUUGUGGAAAAUGUCCUUCAAUUGGCAACUGAGUGCAUCAGAUGGAUGGUAAUACCAUGUAAUGUUCAAAUAAUAGUUUCCAGCAGAUUAUCCUGAACAUCAUAAAUUGGCAACAGCUUCUCAGCACAAAAUUGACCCUGAUCAAAAGCUUGCCUAUUGUUCUGGACAUUAGCAAAUGACCAUUUUCCAGCAGAGAAAGCGCUGGAGGUGAUGCCAGGAAAAAAUACUCAUCAUCCCCGUCUUUAGCUGGUUACCAUCCCAACUCAGGACCAGAACCAUUUCUGCAAAUAAGUGGCAAAAUGUUUGCUUGAUCUGAUAGCUGGAGCCUUUGUCGGGGGCUCACAAUGUGUGGAAAAAAAAAAAGAGAGAGAGAAGAAAAGCUCGGGCUGCAAUGCAGCUGGAAUGAAUGCUCUCCUUGCCUGCCGAUCAGAGCAGAUUACAGUUCACCUGCUGUGAACUAAUCUCUCAGGGAGAGGGUCAGUUGUUUGGAUAGUGUUGCUAAUGGAAGGCAAAACCUUUCUGCACGCUCCCUCCUUCAGCGCUUGGUCUGUUUAGGAGAUGAGUCAGUCCCGGGUUAUUCAUCAACUUGGUUAGGAGCAAUCCGCCCAAGUUCACAAGCACCUCUGAAGCGCUGCACAAUUACAGGAAAUUAUAGCUUGGAGCUGAUGUUAAAACACAGCCAUCUUCUCACUUUUCUGACAGCAAUGUCAGCAAGGCCUGCAUUAUUUCAUUGCAUUGGAGAAGAUACGUGGGAAGAAUUUAUUCCUCACCUUUGAGGGUCUCAGCCCCUCUGAUGCUGAGGGAUACCUUCCUGGGAAGGGGAUGAGGCAGUGCUGUGGGGAUCCUUCCCGAUGACUGCACCAGGUCCCUUGGCUUGCUGCAGGGAGGCCAAAUCAGAGCUGUGCCAUGGCAGAAAUCCUUUGCAGACUGCCUUGCCCAUGGGGGUUCAGUGAGACAUGUCUCAGCAGCAGGACUCAGCCCCACACCAGCAGACAGGAUGGGGACAGUUCCCCUGUGGGUCUGCUGCACAUCCAUCCCCUUCCUCCAGGUCCCUCAUCCUAGCCCUGAGCUCUUCACCCCAGAGGACAGCAUGGGCUCGUACGCUGCUCAUCUCAUCCACAAAGACUCCCUGUGUCAGGGCAGGAGGCUCUCUCCACACACCAUCAGUCCCCCCAGUACAUCUCCAAGCCUUACUCCCGAACUCUCCGUAAGGACCAGAUCCUCACAUCCACCUUUGCUUUGAUCUGGUGGAGAUUCAGCAGUGGGAUCUGCCCCAUAGGUUUGUUGCUUUUUAGAAAGAAUUCUCUGAGGGUAACAUCUCUGCUCAGUGGGGAAGUAUCAUUUUGUCAGACUCAUAUUUAUAUGUCACUUGCACACACACGGAGUUUUGGAGCAAAGUCAAUAAAUGCACACUGAAUGUCAGAGACUUGAAUUUUUGUCUCAGAGACAGACCUGCUUAGGGAGUGAUUUAUUACCUCACUUUAACACACAUAGUCCAAAGCAAAUGGUAAUUUAAAGUCUGCUGUGUGUUCUUUGUAACUGCGUAGUAGAUGGUUUGUACUACCAUAGUUUUAGUGAGAGGUGUUUGGAAAUGGAGUAAUUGUUCAAUGAUGACUUGUAGGAAAUAGUUAAAAUGACAAAAAUGCUGAAAAGUAAAAAAAAAAAAAAAAUUCCUACUGUUAUUUUCAGCUUCAUUUCAUUUCAUUUCAUUUCAUUUCAUUUCAUUCAUUUCACUAUUUUAUUUUAUUGUAUUUAUUUUUAUUUUAGUUUAGUUAUUUUAGUUUUUAGUGCUGGACUCCACAACACCCGUAUUAGUAUAGCUUCUUGAGUGAUUUUCCAUUAUUACGUCCACUCAUCCACUCACUUUUAACUGCCCAGCUUUUAACGUUCAAGGUGCCCAUCUACAGCAGCCUCCACCCAUGUUAGCCUCACAGUCACAGCCAGGCUCAAAAAUCACAUCUCCAGAUGCUUUUACCAUGUCUCUGUGCACUCUGACCUACAGAAACUUGCAGGCAUUUAUUUGUGGACCUGUUUUGUUGGACAAGGUACAGUUCUAGAAGAACAAACCUUUCCCCAACAAAACCAACCUGUCAGUGGAAUUUUGGUGAUGUUGUUAUUAUAUUUUCUGUCCAAAUGACCAAAAAUGUAUUUUCAAUUCAAAAUCCUUUCAAUGGGAAAUUUAUGACCAUGGGUAAUAAUAGUUCUGUUAUGGAUGAAUGGAAAAUGAAUGUUUUGUUUUUAUGCAGUAACUGAGGGAGAUCUGCAUUUUGUUGCCUUCUGUUUAAUCUAGCUUUUACUUCUUGGGACACACAGCUACAGUGAAAAACAAAUGUUUGGCCAUCAGAGUCCCUUGGCCUUAUGGUUAAGAAGAAGUGUUUUAGUGCUUGCAAGAUGAUCAUCAAUUUUAUCUCCUGUAAUUCCUCUCUCCUCAUCUAUAAAGCAUGUUUCGAUAAUUUGCUUUUGACUGAAUAGCUUAAUUUUGCCUGUAGAUCUGUUCUCCUGGGAGUACAAGAAAACAUCUUCUGUAAAUCUUUGCUAUGAUGAGAGACAAUUGCAAAUUUUUUUCAUUAAUAUUAUUAGUUACUUUUGUAAUAGUGUAAGCCAUGAAUGAGGUACUGAUCAACCAUACAGAGAUCUGAAAGCAAAAAAGAGAUAAAAAGAAUGGAGGAGUCAGCGUUAUGUUUCUCUAUAACAGGGAAAUGAAGGCACAAAAGUCCCAGGUCCUGCACUGUCUGUGAUACAGUUGGAAAUCUGGAAUAAAACAUAUUAUCUUUGCAAA